CACGAACGCUGGCGGCAGGCUUAACGCAUGCAAGUCGAGCGCCCCGCAAGGGGAGCGGCAGACGGGUGAGUAACGCGUGGGAAUCUACCCAUCUCUACGGAAUAACGCAUGGAAACGUGUGCUACUACCGUAUACGUCCUUCGGGAGAAAGAUUUAUCGGAGAUGGAUGAGCCCGCGUUGGAUUAGCUAGUUGGUGGGGUAAAGGCCUACCAAGGCGACGCUCCAUAGCUGGUCUGAGAGGAUGAUCAGCCACACUGGGACUGAGACACGGCCCAGACUCCUACGGGAGGCAGCAGUGGGGAAUAUUGGACAAUGGGCGCAAGCCUGAUCCAGCCAUGCCGCGUGAGUGAUGAAGGCCCUAGGGUUGUAAAGCUCUUUCACCGGUGAAGAUAAUGACGGUAACCGGCGAAGAAGCCCCGGCUAACUUCGUGCCAGCCGCCGCCGUAACAC
rnacentral:rRNA from 1 species